AGUAUUUAAAAGCAAUGGCUCCACAAAUCAGGGUACCUGCCAACUUCGGAAUAGAGCAUAUUAAUUCUGAAGUACAUGGGAAUCUGUUACUAAAACUAAAAGAUGGACAAGAGAUAAAAACCAACUCUAUGAUAAUGUCAUUGAAUAGUCCUGUUAUAGACAACCUCACUACCAAUAUGUUUCAGUCCACCCUGGAGAUGGACGAUUUUACGAAGCCAGCAGUUGACUGCUUCGUUGAAGCAAUGUACAGUGGUGAAGUUGAUAAACUGAAAAAGGGCAUCUUUGAAGAUGUAAACAAGAUGGCACAUGUAUUCGAUGUGUCCUGGUUGACUAAGAGAUGCAUUAGGUUUUACAAGACAGAUGUUCUACAGUUUGAGAACAACUCCUACGAUGAGAUCUUGUUUGCGUGCGAGAUUGCUAGCAGGGCUCAUUAUAUCCUGAAGCAAAGUUAUUAUGUACGAUUGUUUGUGAGAAAUAUUGCCUCCAGAGAAAUAAGUAAGACAAUAUUCCUGCAAAGAUACAGGUGGCAGACUUUGCUGAGCUCUCCAAACGGCAGAUUGACAUGUCACUUGCAGUGGCAGGAAAUGAUUGUAACCUAAUCAUGAUCACACUUGUAUCUCAUGUCACCAAGACUUUAAAGUGCAAAGAUCUUGACGAAAAUUCUAUUUAUGUCUUGCAGCAUUUUAAUGUCGAGAAAUUUCGCCAGAAUUUCCCUAUCGACUUCAAUGCGAUGACUAGUUUACUGACCGAAGUCGCUGAUGUGUCAGAAUCCAGAGAAGUAAAAGGGAUUGUAAAGAAUGUUGUUGAAACGAGUUGUGGCCAUGCAUCUAGUAGUUCUACUGAUGAUGUGAAAGACGGUGAAACGGAUUGUGAUGAAAGUGAUUUUGAGGAAAAUGCUGAAGUUGGUAGUCAGACUGAUUGCAAUGAAGUUGAACACGGUUGGAGUGAGGCUGUACAUCCCAAAAACUACUCGUUUUUAGACGGAGAGUCAGUACAGCUUAUAACAGCAGAUAACGUGCCGGAGGGGGAUAUUCGUUUUCUUUAUACUCUACCCGGACAAAGAGGGUCCGAACAAAAAAUGUUUGGGGUGAGAUGUGAAAAUGUAGAACUCAGCCGAUGGAGUUAUUUUAUUAGCGGAUGUAAUGAGGGGAAUUGGAACAAACAAUUCCUGAACAAUGUCCCACCUGAUAAAGUUAAAAACUGGAUUAUAACCAAAACUUCUAUACACCUAAAGGUAGUGUGUAACAGAGUGACUGUCCUCAAUUUCAACUUUGCUGUGGACUGUGAUUCAGCUAAAAAAUAUGGUGAAAAAUUAUGGUCAUUGAAGGCUAUGUCGUUUAAUUUCUUCAUACAUUCUGAAUAUCUCACUUCAAAGCAACUGAUAGUGAGGAAUAUAACUUGUUAGUCGGUUUUCACACUACCAAUUCAUCGUUCAUCUUGCCUGUGUUUCUUGAAAGAUUGAGUUACCUUAAUAUUCUCUUGCAUAUUGUUGAGUACUGUGCAUAAUAAUAACAUAAUCUACAUUUAGGUCCACUUUAUAUUACUGCUUCGUAGACUUAGAUGCUGGUGAACUAUUUUUUACAUCUUCGGAACUAAUUUAUAAAGUAACUUUACUUUAAGGUUUUAACAAAUAUUUGUCGUUUUUGUCGACUAAUAUGUUUUGUAAACUAUGUUGCAUCUAUACCUCUUUCAUGUUUUGUUAAUUCUACAUAUGUUUUCGAAGUGUUUGAGAUGCAAUAUUAUGACGAUCUUUUUAUAUAAAAACAAUUUUCAUAUACCUAAUAUAAAAUCUACCCUUAUUCUAAUUUAC